rnacentral:rRNA from 1 species
CCUACGGGAGGCAGCAGUGGGGGAUAUUGCACAAUGGGGGAAACCCUGAUGCAGCAACGCCGCGUGAACGAAGAAGGUCUUCGGAUUGUAAAGUUCUGUUCUUGGUGAAGAUAAUGACGGUAGCCAAGGAGAAAGCUCCGGCUAACUACGUGCCAGCAGCCGCGGUAAUACGUAGGGAGCGAGCGUUGUCCGGAUUUACUGGGUGUAAAGGGUGCGCAGGCGGCUCUGCAAGUCAGGCGUGAAAGCUAGGGGCUCAACCCCUAAACUGCGCUUGAAACUGUGGGGCUUGAGUGAAGUAGAGGCAGGCGGAAUUCCCGGUGUAGCGGUGAAAUGCGUAGAGAUCGGGAGGAACACCAGUGGCGAAGGCGGCCUGCUGGGCUUUAACUGACGCUCAGGCACGAAAGCAUGGGUAGCAAACAGGAUUAGAUACCCCAGUAG